GAAUUGCGAAAAGUAAUGUGAAUUGCAGAAUUCCGUGAAUCAUCGAAUCUUUGAACGCAUAUUGCGCUCUCUGGCCCUCCAGAGAGCAUGCCUGUUUGAGUAUCAGUAACAACCUCACAUCCCUUCAAGGGGGUAUGGAAAUGAGCGAUCCAGUAUGGCGACGCAGUCGUUCUACCGCUGGUCGUUUGAAAUGUAGCGUGUGCUGUGUUUGUCACUGCUCUCUGCAAAGGCGUACCAGUUCUCCUCGGAGAUCCACUUGCGCCGGUGUUUUGCUGUAGAGCCUUUGUGCUGACUGACGGCCGCGUAAAACCUUUCCAAGGCGCUGCGCAGUAUGCAAAGCAACUUGAUCUUGAUCUCAAAUCAGGCAAGACUACCCGCUGAAUUUAA
rnacentral:misc_RNA from 1 species